rnacentral:lncRNA from 1 species
GUAAAACCUUCCCUCUUUCAGCCUUCCUUUCUUCAGUCCUGUCAGCUGUUACAUCAACGUGACGGUGGGUCUCCUCCUGGACUACCACAUGUCCCUGGCCCAGAAUGCAUUGCAGUGUGUGGAACGCACCAGAGCUCCAGACAGAGUACUGUCCAGCUGAUUAAACAGAACCACCGCCGCACACCACACACUCCUCCCUCACUCAGGUACGUUACACACCACACAACUCCUCCCUCACUCAGGUCGUUACACAGCCAAACAACUCCUCCCUCACUCAGGUACGUUAAACACCUCAACUCCUCCCUCACUCAGGUACGUUACACACCUCAACUCCUCCCUCACUCAGUACGUACACACCUCAAUCGCUCCCUCACUCAGGUAGCGUUACACACCUCUACUCCCCCGC